rnacentral:lncRNA from 1 species
UUACCUGCCCUCUCUCCCAUUCCCUCUGGGCCCUACUUUCUGGGAAACAAUUAACUAAUAUGAUACUGAAAUACGCUAAUGGAUGUUAAUAAUUAACUGUAGUUCUCUUCCCAUUGAUCCUCUCAUCUCAGUACACUGACAACUCAUCUGGAAAAAAAGAAUGAAUGACUAUAAUUUUGGCAAUUGCAGACCUAUUCAGUGUCAUUUGAUUGAAUGAUUGAUCAGGUGGUAGAAGAGGCUUGAGCAGGCCGACUUGCCCUUCAGGAAUACUGCCUGGCCUUCAGAUUCAACCUUACUGCUUGACACUACUUGGCCUGCUCAGUCUAGUACAAGACAUGAUGAUAAGUGGCCGGGCGUGGUGGCUCAUGCCUGUAAUCCCAGCACUUUGAGAGGCUGAGUGGAGAGGACUGCCUGAGCCCAGGAGUUCAAGACCAACCUGGGCAACAUGGUGAGACCCUGACUCUUUAUUUUUUUUCUUUCAAAAAAAGACAUGGUGAUAAGAGGCCUACAAAAAGGAGAGACAAUAAAGAAAUCUGGACUCUACCCUGUGGUUAUAGCAGAGAUACACAGGGAAUAGCUGGGCAGGAGCACCCUGUUACCUUGCCAUAAACAACCAAAUGUUAUUCAUCACGUGUGUCCUUCUAGAGUUUUUUGGUACAUAUAAAGCACGUGUGUGCAUUCUAUUUUACACAAAUUAGAGACGGGGUUUCACUGUGUUAACCAGGAUGGUCUUGAUCUCCUGACCUCGUGAUCCGCCCGCCUCGGCCUCCCAGAGUGCUGAGAUUACAGGCGUG